rnacentral:misc_RNA from 1 species
AUGAAUUUGAAUCGCCUUUUAGUCGUGCUGGCUUUGCAAGUGCACACUAAUUGGUUUCAUCCAACACCCUUGUGCACCUUUGGCCUCGCGUUGUAAUGUGCCUCGGUCUUUUAGGCCUUGGUGCGGAUCGCGCGAGGAUAUUACACAAAAUCGUAUGUAACAGAAUGUAGAUCUAGUGCGUAAGCACGAAAUGUA